rnacentral:snRNA from 1 species
AGAAUUCCAUGCUAAUCAUGAAUUGUU